AGUGCCCCCAGCUGGGCCUCCACCCAGCAGGCACAGGCCAUGCAACCUCCACCCUGGUGACCCCUCCUCCUGUGGCCUACGGCUUGUCAGGCUAAUGGGCUCAAAACUGACCAGGUCUUCCCCACAAACCUGGUCCUCAUGUUGACAGGUGGCUGCUUCAUCCUCACAGUUGCCCAGACCAGAGCCUCAGAGCCGUCCUGGACUCCUGCCCAAUGUCCACCUGGCCCUGCUAUCCCCUCUCCACCACACCUGACAUCCAGUCAGUGGUCAGACUCCACAGCUGGGCCCUGCCCACAUGGCCCAAGUCCACCCUGGCCUGGCAAGCUGCAAUGGCACCCAGGAGAUGAUGCCCUACACCCCAG
rnacentral:lncRNA from 10 species